AUAUUUUGUGUUGUUAAUAAUAAUGGAUGGAGUGAUCACAGAUCUUGAAGAAACUAAGGAUGCCAUUAUUAGGGCAUCAGAUCUGCAAUUGUCAAUUCUUAUUGUUGGGGGAAGGAGCUGAUUUCAAGGAAAUGGAGGUAUUCUUGUUUUCCUUGCCUUCAUAAUAAAGGUACAUGCAGCUAGCCUUUUGUUUUACAAGAGUUUCUUUAUAUAUAUAUAUAUAUAUAUAUAUAUAUAUAUAUAUAUAUAUAUAUAUAUCAAUCUCUAUUUCAGAUUUUAGAUGCUGAUAAAGGGGAUAGACUCAAAAAUUCUCAGGGCAAGGUAGCAUCCCGUGAUAUAUUCCAAU